rnacentral:lncRNA from 1 species
CCUAAAUUUGUGUAACACAAACAGAAUUACUAGUUAUGGAUGCAACUAGUAAGACACAUAAAUGCACAAGGGUACUCCUUCUCCCCCUAAAUCUGUGCACACAACAAACAGUCUCCAUGAACAUAACAACUACUGUAACUCCAGCACCUGUACCAUCCAGAAUGUCAUUCUGACAUCUGCUUCAACACCACCACCUAUGCACCAUAUCA